AGGUGAUAGAACAAAAACGCCAAAGAGGAAAAAUAUUCGCCCCUGUGUCCGUACAGUCCCCGAGGUGGGAGAUAUAUAAUGGAUGAAACCAAGCAUUGCCCUGUACUGCGUCACUCUGCCCCGAUUUGCUUCGCUUUUCUCCCAAUGCUCAUCUCUUCAAAACCCUAGAAGUUAUAAUCUACUAGCGCUGAAGUUUUCAUCGUUUUCUUUCCAAUUUUCUAGCCAGUACCCCGGCCCGGCUGUUACCGGAGGAGUUCGGACCAACUACUAUGGGGGCGCAGUCGUUGAACCGUGUUAGUCCGAAUCAGAGUCCUACUGCUAACAGUGAGCUGGGUGCUGGAAUGGGUCGUCGGCAUUCCGUGGUUUCGACUCCCAGGCGUAAUAUUGUACCGAAUGGUCAUAAAUGUGGCAAGACUGAAGAGCCAAAUGGUUUAAAAAAUUCGCCAAUUCAGAGAAGAACCAGUCCUCGAAUACAAGCCAAGCAAAAAGUGGAUACGGAACUUCCAGUGUGCCGCAGAGAUGAGCUGCUCGACAAAGCUAGUGAUGCGAAGAUGACUACCUGUAAAACAAGUGUUAGCUACGAAAAUGUUGAUAAGCAACAGGUAGUUGGAGGACCAAAGAGAACUAAAAAUUUGGAUAGUUCAACAACUAAGGAACCGCACGAGUCUAAGGAGCCUUUAAUAAAGAGAAGAACUAGCCCUCGUAUCCAAGCGAAGCAAAAGUUGGAUAAGGCACUUCCAGUGUGCAGUAGGGUGCCGUUGUCCGGUGACCGAGACGAUGCUAGUGAUAUGAAGAAAAAUACAACCUGUAAAAGAAAUCGGAAUGACGAAAAUGUGCGUAAUGAAAAUGCUGUGGAGGACCAACAGAAAGCUAAAAAAUUGAACGAGUCAGUUACUGAAGAGCCAAAUGAGGACAAUGAAUCGUCAGCUCAAAGGAUAGCUAACUCUCGAGUUCAAAAUAAAGAAUUUCUAGUGCGACGUAGAGUAGAGCUAUUAGAGAACCGAGAUAACGUUGGUAAUGAUAAGAAAAUUAAGUGUUUCAAAACAAGUUGCAAUGAGGAAAAUGGGAAUGAACAUGGGGGUAAGGAAGAGGGAGUAGGUAAGCCACCUAGAGCAAAGAAGCUGAAAGAGGCUUCCUUGGUUAAUAACAGACAGACAUCUGCGGGUUCGAAAGCAAAUGGGGCAGGGAAUUUUGACGAUAAAAGUGACUUUCUUAAGGUGAAAGAAACGUUGAGGCUGUUUAACAAGCAUUAUCUUCAGUUUGUUCAGGAGGAGGAGAAGAGGUGUAACAAAGUGGAAUCUUCCCUCAAAGUGUCUAAAGGAGGUUCAAAAUCUAAGAAAAAAGCAUCAGUUGAAGUUCAAAAGUCAAUGGCUAAGCGACCUGAUUUGAAAGCACUAUCCAAGAUGUUAGAAAAUCAGGAGACAUUGUAUUCGGAGAAAAGAAUUGGUGAUAUUCCAGGUAUUAAGGUUGGACAUCAAUUCUAUUCGCGCGCUGAAAUGGUUGCUGUUGGGUUUCAUAGCCACUGGCUAAAUGGCAUAGAUUAUAUGGGUCGAGCUUAUUCCAAAGUGUCUCAAUACAGUCACUAUGAAUUUCCACUUGCUGUGGCCAUUGUUUUGUCGGGAAUGUAUGAGGAUGAUAUUGAUAAUGCUGAGGACGUUGUAUAUACUGGUCAAGGUGGGCAUAAUUUGACUGGUGAUAAGCGUCAAAUUCGGGAUCAGGUGUUAGAGCGGGGUAAUCUGGCUCUGAAGAACUGCAUGGAGCAAUGUGUGUCUGUAAGGGUGGUUCGUGGACAUGAAUCUUCAAGCAGUUACAGUGGCAAAGUAUACACAUAUGAUGGCUUGUAUAAGGUUGUUAACUAUUGGGCGGAAAAAGGAUUAUCUGGGUUUACAGUCUAUAAGUUUCGGCUGAGGAGGCUUGAUGGGCAGCCAAUCUUGACAACCAACCAGGUGUAUUUCAUUAAUGGACGUGCCCCUCAGUCCAUUGCUGAAAUACGAGGGCUUGUAUGUGAGGACAUCACCAAAGGUGAAGAAGAUGUGCCUAUUCCUGCCACUAACCUGAUUGAUGACCCCCCAGUUGCACCCACAGGUUUUAAAUAUAAAAAAUCAAUUUUGCUUUCAAAGAAUGUAAAGCUCCCCAGAGAGGUCGCUGGAUGCAAGUGCAAAGGCUUAUGCGUGGAUCCUAUGUCCUGUGAAUGUGCCUUACGAAAUGGAUCUGAUUUUCCCUAUGUAUCUCGUAAUGGAGGGAGGUUAAUUGAAGCCAAAGAUGUUGUCUUUGAAUGUGGGCCAAAGUGUGGAUGUGGUCCUGGUUGUGUUAAUCGAGCUUCUCAAAAAGGACCAAGAUAUCGUCUUGAGGUUUUUCGUACUGCAAAGAAAGGAUGGGCUGUUAGAUCUUGGGAUUUCAUACCUUCUGGGGCACCAGUUUGUGAAUACACAGGAUUAAUCAGGAGGACAGCAGAUGUAGAGAAUACACUCGAGAACAACUAUAUUUUUGAGAUAGAUUGUUUGCAAACGAUGAAGGGCAUUGGUGGAAGAGAGAGGCGAUCACAAAACGAAACAUCUACAGCAGGCAAGCUCUUGGACAAUUAUGCAGAUGAUAAUUCUGAAUCCGCACCAGAGUUUUGUAUUGAUGCCGGCCAUAUUGGAAAUAUUGCUCGAUUCAUCAACCAUAGUUGCGAGCCAAAUUUAUUUGUUCAAUGUGUUUUGAGCUCACACCAUGAUUUAAGGCUGGCACGAGUGAUGUUAUUUGCUGCAGACAACAUACCACCUUUGCAGGAGCUUACAUAUGACUAUGGUUAUGCCCUUGAUAGUGUCUUGGGUCCUGAUGGGAAAGUAAAGAAAAUGACGUGUUAUUGUGGAGCUGCUGACUGCAGAAAGCGACUAUUCUAACAUAUGCUUCUUGGUGCAUGCGUUUUUCUUUCUGCCAUUGCACAUAUCAGCAUAAUAUCCUUUUGAUUUGUAUGGAAUGAGGAAAAUCAGGCUCCUAUACAGUUUCGUGUGCGGGUGCCAUCUAAGAGUCGCCUGUAACACAGACUGAGGCACUCGUUCUGAUAGUUUCAGUUUCUGAGACAUCAGCGUUGUAAAGGUGGAGUCUGCACAAGGGUUUCAGUUUCUGAGACAUCAGCAUUGUCCCGUUCUAAUACAAGUUUUAUUCCACUAGGUGGUGUUAGUUACAUGAAUUGCAUCAUUGUGUUCUAUCAACAAUUAAGUUCUUCAAUAUGUUGUUGACUUGGAGUCUCGUUUAAUUAUCUUAUUAAGUGU